rnacentral:rRNA from 1 species
GAUGAACGCUGGCGGCGUGCCUAAUACAUGCAAGUCGAGCGAACAGACGAGGAGCUUGCUCCUCUGACGUUAGCGGCGGACGGGUGAGUAACACGUGGAUAACCUACCUAUAAGACUGGGAUAACUUCGGGAAACCGGAGCUAAUACCGGAUAAUAUAUUGAACCGCAUGGUUCAAUAGUGAAAGACGGUUUUGCUGUCACUUAUAGAUGGAUCCGCGCCGCAUUAGCUAGUUGGUAAGGUAACGGCUUACCAAGGCAACGAUGCGUAGCCGACCUGAGAGGGUGAUCAGCCACACUGGAAGUGAGACACGGUCCAGACUCCUAAGGGAGGCAGCAGUAGGGAAUCUUCCGCAAUGGGCGAAAGCCUGACGGAGCAACGCCGCGUGAGUGAUGAAGGUCUUCGGAUCGUAAAACUCUGUUAUUAGGGAAGAACAAAUGUGUAAGUAACUAUGCACGUCUUGACGGUACCUAAUCAGAAAGCCACGGCUAACUAGGUG